UGAACAUACUGGUGCAUGUGUUCUUAAUAUC
rnacentral:piRNA from 1 species